rnacentral:rRNA from 1 species
UACGAAGGGGGCUAGCGUUGCUCGGAAUCACUGGGCGUAAAGCGCACGUAGGCGGAUCUUUAAGUCGGUGGUGAAAAUCCUGGAGCUCAACUCCAGAACUGCCUCCGAUACUGAGGGUCUUCGAGUCCGGGAGAGGUGAGUGGAACUGCGAGUGUAGAGGUGAAAUUCGUAGAUAUUCGCAAGAACACCAGUGGCGGAAGGCGGC